rnacentral:rRNA from 1 species
AUGAACGCUAGCGACAGGCUAACACAUGCAAGUCGAGGGGUAACAGGGUAGCAAUACCGCUGACGACCGGCGCACGGGUGAGUAACGCGUAUGCAACCUGCCUAUAACUGGGGAAUAGCUCCCUGAAAGGGGGAAUUAACACCGCAUAACACUAUUGAUUCGCAUGGAUUGGUAGUUAAAUGUAGCGAUACAGGUUAUAGAUGGGCAUGCGUGACAUUAGCUAGUUGGUGAGGUAACGGCUCACCAAGGCUACGAUGUCUAGGGGUUCUGAGAGGAAGGUCCCCCACACUGGUACUGAGACACGGACCAGACUCCUACGGGAGGCAGCAGUGAGGAAUAUUGGUCAAUGGGCGCAAGCCUGAACCAGCCAUGUCGCGUGCAGGAAGACUGCCCUAUGGGUUGUAAACUGCUUUUAUAGUAGAAGAAACACAUCUACGUGUAGAUGUCUGCCAGUAUACUAUGAAUAAGCAUCGGCUAACUCCGUGCCAGCCGCAGC